rnacentral:tRNA from 1 species
GCGCCCGUGGCGAAACUGGCAGACGCGCAGGAUUUAGGUUCCUGUACCUGAGGGUGUGGGGGUUCGAGUCCCCCCGGGCGCA